AAGUCGUAACAAGGUUUCCGUAGGUGAACCUGCGGAAGGAUCAUUAACACGUGAUACUCACGUAUUUAAAUCCACCGAGAAAUUGUUAUCUAUCCUAUUGUUGGCUGCAGACAGACGAAGUGAGGGAAUGCUAUGGGCCGCCUUUCGAAAGAUUGUACGCCCUAACUCAUCAGUCGUUCCAUGGUCCGCCCAGGAGUUUGCACUGGCAAAUAGUUGACGAGUUACAACCGCUUAUUAAGCAUGUAGCAUUGCUUGCGAGAUUGUAAUGAACUUAUUAACCCAUUCUUUACUAUUAUUUACUGAUUUGUAUGUUUAUAUGAAUUCCUGACUUUAACUAGUUGGUUGAGUUUAUGUAAAUGUCGUAUAUUACUAAUACGAAACAACUCUUAGCAACGGAUAUCUUGGUUCUC
rnacentral:misc_RNA from 1 species